UGGGCAUGUUGCCUUUGUUGUUGGUGGUGGAGAGCAUGGUUUUCCUUUAGGGGAUGGUGUAAUAACUGGUGGAAUUGUUACGGGUGGAAUUCCUAUAGGUGGCAAGUUGAUAGGAGGUUUUACAAUAGGUGGUAAACCAAUUGGUGGCUUAAGAACUGGUGGAACUGUCACCGGUGGAAUUCCGAUAGGUGGCUUAAUAACAGGUGGAACAACGGGCGGCAAGUUGAUAGGUGGUUUUACAACUGGUGGAAUUCCGAUAGGUGGCUUGAUAACUGGUGGCAAGUUGAUAGGUGGUUUUACUACUGGUGGAACUGUCACAGGUGGAAUUCCGAUGGGCGGCUUAAUAACUGGUGGAAUAACAGGCGGCAAGUUGAUAGGUGGUUUUACAAUAGGCGGAACUGUCACCGGUGGAAUUCCAAUGGGUGGCAAGUUUAUAGGGGGUUUAAUACUUGGAGAGGGAGUUUUAGGUUUUUUGUGUUUGUGAGAGGGUUUUCCACAGUAGCCACAACCAAGAAUGGGAGUGAAUGAAGAA
rnacentral:lncRNA from 1 species